AAAUAUUCACCAGGCAGAAGCACAAACAUGAUGGCUACUAUGCGACUUUUCAUCGUUCCCUUUUUACUGACUACUCUCAUCUGCGUCGUGGCAUCUCAAAAUUCUGGUUGUACGUGUGCGACCAAGCCCGUCUACUUCACCGACUAUACAAAACUGCAUAAGGACUUUUGCGAUCAAAGAAUUAGCUCCGAGUUAAGCAAGCUCGAAGCGGAAACGUUGGAAUGCGAUUUCCAAACCAUGCUAUCAGCAUCGAUCAAUGCUGACAGUUUGUCCACGUGUUAUACUCAGCGCGAUGUAGAAAAAACG